CGUACCGUAGCUUAACUUAAAGCUUUAGGCUUUUAACCUAAGGAUGGGCCUAAAUUAAAGAUAACCCCAGUACGG
rnacentral:tRNA from 1 species